ACUAUUUUGGCARAGAAGUGCCUUAGAUUUAGAAUCUAAUUAUGUAGUAAGGUUACUACAAAUAGUA
rnacentral:tRNA from 1 species